rnacentral:rRNA from 1 species
UGCAGUCGAGCGGUAGCACAGAGGAGCUUGCUCCUUGGGUGACGAGCGGCGGACGGGUGAGUAAUGUCUGGGAAACUGCCUGAUGGAGGGGGAUAACUACUGGAAACGGUAGCUAAUACCGCAUAACCUCGCAAGAGCAAAGAGGGGGACCUUAGGGCCUCUCGCCAUCAGAUGUGCCCAGAUGGGAUUAGCUAGUAGGUGAGGUAAUGGCUCACCUAGGCGACGAUCCCUAGCUGGUCUGAGAGGAUGACCAGCCACACUGGAACUGAGACACGGUCCAGACUCCUACGGGAGGCAGCAGUGGGGAAUAUUGCACAAUGGGCGCAAGCCUGAUGCAGCCAUGCCGCGUGUGUGAAGAAGGCCUUCGGGUUGUAAAGCACUUUCAGCGAGGAGGAAGGCGGUAAGGUUAAUAACCUUAUCGAUUGACGUUACUCGCAGAAGAAGCACCGGCUAACUCCGUGCCAGCAGCCGCGGUAAUACGGAGGGUGCAAGCGUUAAUCGGAAUGACUGGGCGUAAAGCGCACGCAGGCGGUCUGUUAAGUUGGAUGUGAAAUCCCCGGGCUUAACCUGGGAACUGCAUUCAAAACUGACAGGCUAGAGUCUUGUAGAGGGGGGUAGAAUUCCAGGUGUAGCGGUGAAAUGCGU